rnacentral:rRNA from 1 species
AGAUUCAACAUGGAACGAGUGGCGGACGGGUGAGUAACACGUGGGUAACCUGCCCUUAAGUGGGGGAUAACAUUUGGAAACAGAUGCUAAUACCGCAUAGAUCCAAGAACCGCAUGGUUCUUGGCUGAAAGAUGGCGUAAGCUAUCGCUUUUGGAUGGACCCGCGGCGUAUUAGCUAGUUGGUGAGGUAAYGGCUCACCAAGGCGAUGAUACGUAGCCGAACUGAGAGGUUGAUCGGCCACAUUGGGACUGAGACACGGCCCAAACUCCUACGGGAGGCAGCAGUAGGGAAUCUUCCACAAUGGACGCAAGUCUGAUGGAGCAACGCCGCGUGAGUGAAGAAGGCUUUCGGGUCGUAAAACUCUGUUGUUGGAGAAGAAUGGUCGGCAGAGUAACUGUUGUCGGCGUGACGGUAUCCAACCAGAAAGCCACGGCUAACUACGUGCCAGCAGCCGCGGUAAUACGUAGGUGGCAAGCGUUAUCCGGAUUUAUUGGGCGUAAAGCGAGCGCAGGCGGUUUUUUAAGUCUGAUGUGAAAGCCCUCGGCUUAACCGAGGAAGCGCAUCGGAAACUGGGAAACUUGAGUGCAGAAGAGGACAGUGGAACUCCAUGUGUAGCGGUGAAAUGCGUAGAUAUAUGGAAGAACACCAGUGGCGAAGGCGGCUGUCUGGUCUGUAA